UAGUAAGGAUUUUAAUAAGGUUCCCCGC
rnacentral:miRNA from 1 species